AGGCGCCUACGGGGGGCAGCAGUGGGGAAUAUUGCACAAUGGGGGAAACCCUGAUGCAGCGACGCCGCGUGAGUGAGGAAGUAUUUCGGUAUGUAAAGCUCUAUCAGCAGGGAAGAAAAUGACGGCACCUGACCAAGAAGCCCCGGCUAACUACGUGCCAGCAGCCGCGGUAAUACGUAGGGGGCAAGCGUUAUCCGGAUUUACUGGGUGUAAAGGGAGCGUAGGCGGCUGUGUAAGCCAGAAGUGAAAGCCCGAGGCUCAACCACGGGACUGCUUUUGGAACUACAUGGCUUGAUUGCAGGCGG
rnacentral:rRNA from 1 species